GGUUAAGCGACUAAGCGUACACGGUGGAUGCCCUGGCAGUCAGAGGCGAUGAAGGACGUGCUAAUCUGCGAUAAGCGUCGGUAAGGUGAUAUGAACCGUUAUAACCGGCGAUUUCCGAAUGGGGAAACCCAGUGUGUUUCGACACACUAUCAUUAACUGAAUCCAUAGGUUAAUGAGGCGAACCGGGGGAACUGAAACAUCUAAGUACCCCGAGGAAAAGAAAUCAACCGAGAUUCCCCCAGUAGCGGCGAGCGAACGGGGAGGAGCCCAGAGCCUGAAUCAGUGUGUGUGUUAGUGGAAGCGUCUGGAAAGGCGCGCGAUACAGGGUGACAGCCCCGUACACAAAAAUGCACAUGCUGUGAGCUCGAUGAGUAGGGCGGGACACGUGGUAUCCUGUCUGAAUAUGGGGGGACCAUCCUCCAAGGCUAAAUACUCCUGACUGACCGAUAGUGAACCAGUACCGUGAGGGAAAGGCGAAAAGAACCCCGGCGAGGGGAGUGAAAAAGAACCUGAAACCGUGUACGUACAAGCAGUGGGAGCACGCUUCGGCGUGUGACUGCGUACCUUUUGUAUAAUGGGUCAGCGACUUAUAUUCUGUAGCAAGGUUAACCGAAUAGGGGAGCCGAAGGGAAACCGAGUCUUAACUGGGCGUUAAGUUGCAGGGUAUAGACCCGAAACCCGGUGAUCUAGCCAUGGGCAGGUUGAAGGUUGGGUAACACUAACUGGAGGACCGAACCGACUAAUGUUGAAAAAUUAGCGGAUGACUUGUGGCUGGGGGUGAAAGGCCAAUCAAACCGGGAGAUAGCUGGUUCUCCCCGAAAGCUAUUUAGGUAGCGCCUCGUGAAUUCAUCUCCGGGGGUAGAGCACUGUUUCGGCAAGGGGGUCAUCCCGACUUACCAACCCGAUGCAAACUGCGAAUACCGGAGAAUGUUAUCACGGGAGACACACGGCGGGUGCUAACGUCCGUCGUGAAGAGGGAAACAACCCAGACCGCCAGCUAAGGUCCCAAAGUCAUGGUUAAGUGGGAAACGAUGUGGGAAGGCCCAGACAGCCAGGAUGUUGGCUUAGAAGCAGCCAUCAUUUAAAGAAAGCGUAAUAGCUCACUGGUCGAGUCGGCCUGCGCGGAAGAUGUAACGGGGCUAAACCAUGCACCGAAGCUGCGGCAGCGACACUAUGUGUUGUUGGGUAGGGGAGCGUUCUGUAAGCCUGUGAAGGUGUGCUGUGAGGCAUGCUGGAGGUAUCAGAAGUGCGAAUGCUGACAUAAGUAACGAUAAAGCGGGUGAAAAGCCCGCUCGCCGGAAGACCAAGGGUUCCUGUCCAACGUUAAUCGGGGCAGGGUGAGUCGACCCCUAAGGCGAGGCCGAAAGGCGUAGUCGAUGGGAAACAGGUUAAUAUUCCUGUACUUGGUGUUACUGCGAAGGGGGGACGGAGAAGGCUAUGUUGGCCGGGCGACGGUUGUCCCGGUUUAAGCGUGUAGGCUGGUUUUCCAGGCAAAUCCGGAAAAUCAAGGCUGAGGCGUGAUGACGAGGCACUACGGUGCUGAAGCAACAAAUGCCCUGCUUCCAGGAAAAGCCUCUAAGCAUCAGGUAACAUCAAAUCGUACCCCAAACCGACACAGGUGGUCAGGUAGAGAAUACCAAGGCGCUUGAGAGAACUCGGGUGAAGGAACUAGGCAAAAUGGUGCCGUAACUUCGGGAGAAGGCACGCUGAUAUGUAGGUGAAGUCCCUCGCGGAUGGAGCUGAAAUCAGUCGAAGAUACCAGCUGGCUGCAACUGUUUAUUAAAAACACAGCACUGUGCAAACACGAAAGUGGACGUAUACGGUGUGACGCCUGCCCGGUGCCGGAAGGUUAAUUGAUGGGGUUAGCGCAAGCGAAGCUCUUGAUCGAAGCCCCGGUAAACGGCGGCCGUAACUAUAACGGUCCUAAGGUAGCGAAAUUCCUUGUCGGGUAAGUUCCGACCUGCACGAAUGGCGUAAUGAUGGCCAGGCUGUCUCCACCCGAGACUCAGUGAAAUUGAACUCGCUGUGAAGAUGCAGUGUACCCGCGGCAAGACGGAAAGACCCCGUGAACCUUUACUAUAGCUUGACACUGAACAUUGAGCCUUGAUGUGUAGGAUAGGUGGGAGGCUUUGAAGUGUGGACGCCAGUCUGCAUGGAGCCGACCUUGAAAUACCACCCUUUAAUGUUUGAUGUUCUAACGUUGACCCGUAAUCCGGGUUGCGGACAGUGUCUGGUGGGUAGUUUGACUGGGGCGGUCUCCUCCUAAAGAGUAACGGAGGAGCACGAAGGUUGGCUAAUCCUGGUCGGACAUCAGGAGGUUAGUGCAAUGGCAUAAGCCAGCUUGACUGCGAGCGUGACGGCGCGAGCAGGUGCGAAAGCAGGUCAUAGUGAUCCGGUGGUUCUGAAUGGAAGGGCCAUCGCUCAACGGAUAAAAGGUACUCCGGGGAUAACAGGCUGAUACCGCCCAAGAGUUCAUAUCGACGGCGGUGUUUGGCACCUCGAUGUCGGCUCAUCACAUCCUGGGGCUGAAGUAGGUCCCAAGGGUAUGGCUGUUCGCCAUUUAAAGUGGUACGCGAGCUGGGUUUAGAACGUCGUGAGACAGUUCGGUCCCUAUCUGCCGUGGGCGCUGGAGAACUGAGGGGGGCUGCUCCUAGUACGAGAGGACCGGAGUGGACGCAUCACUGGUGUUCGGGUUGUCAUGCCAAUGGCACUGCCCGGUAGCUAAAUGCGGAAGAGAUAAGUGCUGAAAGCAUCUAAGCACGAAACUUGCCCCGAGAUGAGUUCUCCCUGACUCCUUGAGAGUCCUGAAGGAACGUUGAAGACGACGACGUUGAUAGGCCGGGUGUGUAAGCGCAGCGAUGCGUUGAGCUAACCGGUACUAAUGAACCGUGAGGCUUAACCUU
rnacentral:rRNA from 1 species